rnacentral:rRNA from 1 species
GAACGCUAGCUACAGGCUUAACACAUGCAAGUCGAGGGGCAGCAUUUCAGUUUGCUUGCAAACUGGAGAUGGCGACCGGCGCACGGGUGAGUAACACGUAUCCAACCUGCCGAUAACUCGGGGAUAGCCUUUCGAAAGAAAGAUUAAUACCCGAUGGCAUAAUUAGACCGCAUGGUCUUAUUAUUAAAGAAUUUCGGUUAUCGAUGGGGAUGCGUUCCAUUAGGCAGUUGGUGAGGUAACGGCUCACCAAACCUUCGAUGGAUAGGGGUUCUGAGAGGAAGGUCCCCCACAUUGGAACUGAGACACGGUCCAAACUCCUACGGGAGGCAGCAGUGAGGAAUAUUGGUCAAUGGACGAGAGUCUGAACCAGCCAAGUAGCGUGAAGGAUGACUGCCCUAUGGGUUGUAAACUUCUUUUAUAUGGGAAUAAAGUUUUCCACGUGUGGAAUUUUGUAUGUACCAUAUGAAUAAGGAUCGGCUAACUCCGUGCCAGCAGCCGCGGUAAUACGGAGGAUCCGAGCGUUAUCCGGAUUUAUUGGGUUUAAAGGGAGCGUAGGUGGACAGUUAAGUCAGUUGUGAAAGUUUGCGGCUCAACCGUAAAAUUGCAGUUGAUACUGGCUGUCUUGAGUACAGUAGAGGUGGGCGGAAUUCGUGGUGUAGCGGUGAAAUGCUUAGAUAUCACGAAGAACUCCGAUUGCGAAGGCAGCUCACUGGACUGCAACUGACACUGAUGCUCGAAAGUGUGGGUAUCAAACAGGAUUAGAUACCCUGGUAGUCCACACAGUAAACGAUGAAUACUCGCUGUUUGCGAUAUACAGUAAGCGGCCAAGCGAAAGCAUUAAGUAUUCCACCUGGGGAGUACGCCGGCAACGGUGAAACUCAAAGGAAUUGACGGGGGCCCGCACAAGCGGAGGAACAUGUGGUUUAAUUCGAUGAUACGCGAGGAACCUUACCCGGGCUUAAAUUGCAUUUGAAUAAUCUGGAAACAGGUUAGCCGCAAGGCAAAUGUGAGGGUGCUGCAUGGUUGUCGUCAGCUCGUGCCGUGAGGUGUCGGCUUAAGUGCCAUAACGAGCGCAACCCUUAUCUUUAGUUACUAACAGGUCAUGCUGAGGACUCUAGAGAGACUGCCGUCGUAAGAUGUGAGGAAGGUGGGGAUGACGUCAAAUCAGCACGGCCCUUACGUCCGGGGCUACACACGUGUUACAAUGGGGGGUACAGAAGGCAGCUACCUGGUGACAGGAUGCUAAUCCCAAAAGCCUCUCUCAGUUCGGAUCGAAGUCUGCAACCCGACUUCGUGAAGCUGGAUUCGCUAGUAAUCGCGCAUCAGCCAUGGCGCGGUGAAUACGUUCCCGGGCCUUGUACACACCGCCCGUCAAGCCAUGAAAGCCGGGGGUACCUGAAGUACGUAACCGCAAGGAGCGUCCUAGGGUAAAACUGGUAAUUGGG